GAAUAAACCAACAAUCUCAAUCUUUAAAAGUGUCUUCAUUGCACUAACCGACGAGUUCAUGUUUACAGUAGAAACAGUGGAUGUGACUCCAAUAAAGUCAUUACCAUUGUAGUCAUGAAUAUUUAUCGCUUAUAUUAAAUUGAUAAAGAUUUUAUCGAGGUCGCACCAACUGUUUCUACAGCUAAGAUCAGUUACAUGUAACAUGAUCUCGUCGAUUCGCACGACGAAGCCAUUGUCUAUGACAGAACACACAUUCUAGAUUAUGUAUUUUUGUUUCCGUCAGUUCGAAAGUAUUUGAUCACUUCAACUCCUUGCCACAGACCACAAUUAAAU
rnacentral:lncRNA from 1 species